AGAGUUUGAUUAUGGCUCAGGAUGAACGCUGGCGGCGUGCCUAACACAUGCAAGUCGAGCGAGAAGCUCUUGACGGAUUCUUCGGAUGACGGAGAGAGUGGAAAGCGGCGGACGGGUGAGUAACGCGUGGGCAACCUGCCUCUCACAGAGGGAUAGCCAUUGGAAACGAUGAUUAAAACCUCAUAACACUGCAUUUUCACAUGGAGAAGCAGUCAAAGAUUUAUCGGUGAGAGAUGGGCCCGCGUCUGAUUAGCUGGUUGGUGAGGUAACGGCUCACCAAGGCGACGAUCAGUAGCCGACCUGAGAGGGUGAUCGGCCACAUUGGAACUGAGACACGGUCCAA
rnacentral:rRNA from 1 species